GACGAACGCUGGCGGCGCGCCUAACACAUGCAAGUCGAACGAGCGAGAGAGAGCUUGCUUUCUCGAGCGAGUGGCGAACGGGUGAGUAACGCGUGAGGAACCUGCCUCAAAGAGGGGGACAACAGUUGGAAACGACUGCUAAUACCGCAUAAGCCCACGGCUCGGCAUCGAGCAGAGGGAAAAGGAGCAAUCCGCUUUGAGAUGGCCUCGCGUCCGAUUAGCUAGUUGGUGAGGUAACGGCCCACCAAGGCGACGAUCGGUAGCCGGACUGAGAGGUUGAACGGCCACAUUGGGACUGAGACACGGCCCAGACUCCUACGGGAGGCAGCAGUGGGGAAUAUUGCACAAUGGGGGAAACCCUGAUGCAGCGACGCCGCGUGGAGGAAGAAGGUCCUCGGAUUGUAAACUCCUGUUGUUGAGGAAGAUAAUGACGGUACUCAACAAGGAAGUGACGGCUAACUACGUGCCAGCAGCCGCGGUAAAACGUAGGUCACAAGCGUUGUCCGGAAUUACUGGGUGUAAAGGGAGCGCAGGCGGGAAGACAAGUUGGAAGUGAAAUCCAUGGGCUCAACCCAUGAACUGCUUUCAAAACUGUUUUUCUUGAGUAGUGCAGAGGUAGGCGGAAUUCCCGGUGUAGCGGUGGAAUGCGUAGAUAUCGGGAGGAACACCAGUGGCGAAGGCGGCCUACUGGGCACCAACUGACGCUGAGGCUCGAAAGUGUGGGUAGCAAACAGGAUUAGAUACCCUGGUAGUCCACACUGUAAACGAUGAUUACUAGGUGUUGGAGGAUUGACCCCUUCAGUGCCGCAGUUAACACAAUAAGUAAUCCACCUGGGGAGUACGACCGCAAGGUUGAAACUCAAAGGAAUUGACGGGGGCCCGCACAAGCAGUGGAGUAUGUGGUUUAAUUCGACGCAACGCGAAGAACCUUACCAAGUCUUGACAUCCUGCGACGGUGCUGGAAACAGAACUUUCCUUCGGGACGCAGAGACAGGUGGUGCAUGGUUGUCGUCAGCUCGUGUCGUGAGAUGUUGGGUUAAGUCCCGCAACGAGCGCAACCCUUAUGGUCAGUUACUACGCAAGAGGACUCUGGCCAGACUGCCGUUGACAAAACGGAGGAAGGUGGGGAUGACGUCAAAUCAUCAUGCCCUUUAUGACUUGGGCUACACACGUACUACAAUGGCGUUAAACAAAGAGAAGCAAGACCGCGAGGUGGAGCAAAACUCAGAAACAACGUCCCAGUUCGGACUGCAGGCUGCAACUCGCCUGCACGAAGUCGGAAUUGCUAGUAAUCGCAGAUCAGCAUGCUGCGGUGAAUACGUUCCCGGGCCUU
rnacentral:rRNA from 1 species